CCCAGACAGCCAGGAUGUUGGCUUAGAAGCAGCCAUCAUUUAAAGAAAGCGUAAUAGCUCACUGGUCGAGUCGGCCUGCGCGGAAGAUGUAACGGGGCUAAACCAUGCACCGAAGCUGCGGCAGCGAACGUAUCACUUAAAGCGAUUCAGCGGAUUACGAUUGACGGAGCGAAGCGACGUCAAAGCGUAUACAAAGUCGAGUCGGUUUAAGGAUACGUUCGUUGGGUAGGGGAGCGUUCUGUAAGCCUGUGAAGGUGGCCUGUGAGGGUUGCUGGAGGUAUCAGAAGUGCGAAUGCUGACAUAAGUAACGAUAAAGCGGGUGAAAAGCCCGCUCGCCGGAAGACCAAGGGUUCCUGUCCAACGUUAAUCGGGGCAGGGUGAGUCGACCCCUAAGGCGAGGCCGAAAGGCGUAGUCGAUGGGAAACGGGUUAAUAUUCCCGUACUUGGUGUUACUGCGAAGGGGGGACGGAGAAGGCUAUGUUGGCCGGGCGACGGUUGUCCCGGUUUAAGCGUGUAGGCUGGUUUUCCAGGCAAAUCCGGAAAAUCAAGGCUGAGGCGUGAUGACGAGGCACUACGGUGCUGAAGCAACAAAUGCCCUGCUUCCAGGAAAAGCCUCUAAGCAUCAGGUAACAUCAAAUCGUACCCCAAACCGACACAGGUGGUCAGGUAGAGAAUACCAAGGCGCUUGA
rnacentral:rRNA from 1 species